rnacentral:rRNA from 1 species
UACGUAGGGUGCGAGCGUUAAUCGGAAUUACUGGGCGUAAAGCGUGCGCAGGCGGCUCCGCAAGUCAGGCGUGAAAUCCCCGAGCUUAACUUGGGAAUGGCACUUGAAACUACGGUGCUGGAGUGUGGCAGAGGGAGGUGGAAUUCCACGUGUAGCGGUGAAAUGCGUAGAGAUGUGGAGGAACACCAGUGGCGAAGGCGGCUUUCUGGUCUGUAACUGACGCUGAGGCGCGAAAGCGUGGGGAGCAAACAGG